rnacentral:misc_RNA from 1 species
GUAGAGAUUCCUUGAAGCUCCACCUCUCAUAAGCACUCAGUAUGUCCUCUCGGUUCUGCAAAUCCAUGGCAAGUAUGAGAUCAAACUCCUUGAAAUCCGACGGCCGUAUCGGCCUCGACAUAGACGUCACCUCGAUCCCCCGCCUCUUCGCCGCCGCAAUCAUCCUCGAAUCCGCGGAAUUACCCUCGUGGUAGCCGAUGGUGCCGGCAGAGUCGAUCUUGAACGAGAACUCCAGCCCUCUCUUCUCGACGAUUUCUCUGAACACGGCCUCCGCGGCUGGACUCCGGCAGAUAUUGCCGAGGCAGACGAAGAGUACGGAGAAAGGGCGGUGCUCCACAUCGGGCGGUGGCGGCGGGGUCGGCGAUGCGGCGGAGGACGCCAUUGGCCGGAAGGGGCGGAGAGAGGGGAGUCGGUGUUUU